UACGGAGGAUGCGAGCGUUAAUCGGAAUUACUGGGCGUAAAGCGUGCGCAGGCGGUUUUGUAAGUUUGUCGUGAAAGCCCCGGGCUCAACCUGGGAAUGGCGAUGAAGACUGCAAGGCUUGAAUCUGGCAGAGGGGGGUAGAAUUCCACGUGUAGCAGUGAAAUGCGUAGAGAUGUGGAGGAACACCGAUGGCGAAGGCAGCCCCCUGGGUCAAGAUUGACGCUCAUGCACGAAAGCGUGGGGAGCAAACAGG
rnacentral:rRNA from 1 species